GAUGAACGCUGGCGGCGUGCCUAAUACAUGCAAGUCGAGCGAACAGACGAGGAGCUUGCUCCUCUGACGUUAGCGGCGGACGGGUGAGUAACACGUGGAUAACCUACCUAUAAGACUGGGAUAACUUCGGGAAACCGGAGCUAAUACCGGAUAAUAUAUUGAACCGCAUGGUUCAAUAGUUAAAGACGGUUUUGCUGUCACUUAUAGAUGGAUCCGCGCCGCAUUCGCUAGUUGGUAAGGUAACGGCUUACCAAGGCGACGAUGCGUAGCCGACCCGAGAGGGUGGACGGCCAGACUGUAACUGAGACACGGUCCAGACUCCGACGGGAAGCAGCGGUAGGGAAUCUUCCGCAAUGGACGAAAGGCUGACGGAGCAACGCCGCGGGAGUGAUGAAGGUCUUAUGAUCGUAAAGCUCUGUUAUUAGGGAAGAACAAAUGUGUAAGUAACUAUGCACGUCUUGACGGUACCUAGUGAGAAAGCCACGGCUAACUACGUG
rnacentral:rRNA from 1 species